UACGUAGGGUGCAAGCGUUUGUCCGGAAUUAUUGGGCGUAAAGAGCUUGUAGGCGGUUUGUCGCGUCUGCUGUGAAAUUUCGGGGCUCAACCCCGAACUUGCGGUGGGUACGGGCAGACUAGAGUGUGGUAGGGGAGACUGGAAUUCCUGGUGUAGCGGUGAAAUGCGCAGAUAUCAGGAGGAACACCGAUGGCGAAGGCAGGUCUCUGGGCCAUAACUGACGCUGAGAAGCGAAAAGCAUGGGGGAGCGAAACAGG
rnacentral:rRNA from 1 species